UCCCUAAGCACCUCAUCUAUCCUUCUUUUAAAUACCUCCAGGAAUGAGGACUUGACCACCUCCCUGGGCAGCGGCCUUCGAGAGCCUGACAAUCCUUUCGGUGAAUAAAUUGUUC